rnacentral:lncRNA from 1 species
AAAAUCUGAAGUCUAAACUAAACAAGGCUGAACUCGUGACCUUCACCCGCAACACCUUCAACCGUUGGAAUCUCGUCCCCGCUGUUCGUCGCCACUGCCCGUCAGUCGUCACCGCUGCUCGUUGCUGCUGUCACUGUGCUCCCCUGCUACCAUUAUUUGUCUGAAUAUAGUGGGCUCACCGCAAAGAUUCUUUUGUUUUUGUCAACAAAAUCUCUCAGUAGAACAAAAAAUCGAACGAAAAAGGUUCCAUUUUUCGUUUCGGUUUUAUGAAUUUGGUUUAAAGUUCAUUUCUUUUUCCUUGUUCCCAUGUUUUUGUUAAUGUGCUUGAGUUAUGUAAAUAUCGCUGCCGUUUUUGCCUGGUUUGUUCUGUUUUUGCAGAGAAUAAAAACCAAUAACUUGAGCUGCUGCUGAUUGUUUCGUGUUUCGUUUCGUAAUUUGUUGAGGUUCGUUCACUUGAGAUGCUGUAUUUAGUUAUACCCAUGACUACUAAUUUGUAUACCAAAAUUGAAUUUUGAUUUCUGAUUCAUUCUUUUGUUUUUUCUUUUCCCCCAUUUGGGUGAGAUAUGGUUUGUUUCUUUGAUUGAAAGAUGAUUGAAUGAUUGGUUUUUUCAGUUUCUUUUCCCAAAUCGCAAACUGGAUACUGUUGAGAUUGAUCAUGAUUUUUAUAUCUUAGAGCUGUGUUUGAAAAUGUUCUCUAUAGUGUGCGGUGAAUUGCUGGAUUCACUGAUAUUUUCCAGAGCACGUAAAGCAGGUUCAUAACUAAAUGCUGGUGCUAUGAAUUGCUGGUGUUGUCUUUACUAAUGAUGAAAACUAAAGGUCUAAAGCAAGUUCAAAUACGUCUCAUUCAUGACUUUUUAAGUUUGUAUAUUCAUAACUAAAUUAAUUAAUAAAAAACGCCAGCAAGUAUUAAUUUUUUCCAACAGGUUCAGACAAAAACAUUUUCCAGCUGGUUCUGCUAACUAACUCUAUAUGGAUCCUUAAUUAAACUAUAAUCUAAAUUGAUUUUUUGGUUAAUUUUUAUUUUUUAGAGGCUUCCACCUAUGAUUUGACACAUGUCCCAACAAUCACGAAAAUGGGGAUAAUAAUAAAAGCAGUAAAAGAUUAAAAACUUUUAACUAAGAAACAAAUCGUUUGUUUAAAUAAAUUUUUAUCUUUUAUGUAUGGGUCUUUAUUUGAACAUGUUAUUUGUUCUUGAACAUACUUUGAGACAUAUUUUGAUUUUUUGUUUGUUAAUUUUUUAUGUUUGUGGUAAAUUU